UACAGAGGUCUCAAGCGUUGUUCGGAUUCAUUGGGCGUAAAGGGUGCGUAGGCGGCGCGGUAAGUCGGGUGUGAAAUCUCGGAGCUUAACUCCGAAACUGCAUUCGAUACUGCCGUGCUUGAGGACUGGAGAGGAGACUGGAAUUUACGGUGUAGCGGUGAAAUGCGUAGAUAUCGUAAGGAAGACCAGUGGCGAAGGCGAAUCUCUGGACAGUUACUGACACUG
rnacentral:rRNA from 1 species